CACGCAUGUCACGUGACCGCUCGUACUCACCGUCCAUUGGUGGCGCGCGACGCCCGCGUAGCGUCGUACUACGCGAGGACGUGCGGCGCACCGCGUUCCAUUCACUACCACCGUAACAUCGUGUAGCACCGUGGCCGGUGUGGUAGCUAAGCGUCCUAUCGCCCUCUUGCUCCCUCCUACAGAUCUCUCUCUCCCUCUUUCUCUCGCGCACACUCAGGGACGUGAAACUCCUACGCGGGCGUCCCCACGAUCCCACGACUCCGGGAUAGUGGACAGUCGUCUCAAGACGGCGCAGCGCGAUGGUACGAUAAUCUCGGGAGUAUUCGAGACAUCUUAAUUCAAUACGUAACGAUGUGAUAUUAUCGCCGAACAAGUUACAGAUGACAUAUGACUAGAUUAAACAAUAUCAAGAAAAAUACAAACAAGAAAUAUAUAUCAGUCUGAAUUUAUAUAUGUGGCAUUUAUGGCUGGCUGCUGAAAAGUCCGUACAUAUAUGAAAAGAGAAAGAAAACGCAAAUAUUAAAAUUAUCUGUAUGUUUUAUGAUGUGUCACCUAUGGCGACUUGAUACUUAGGCGACAAUAGGACAUUGAUGAAUCAAAAGCUUAUCUUCUAGGGUCAGACUUUAAAAUAACACACACUUUCACAUUACAAUUAAUAUGUAAGUUUGUAGAGCGUUAUAUGUUUUCGAUGAGACUCGAGAUGUACGUUAAAUAAAACGCGAAAUUUGAAUAAAUACAGAUCUGUAUAUAAUUGCGUAACUGAUACAAAUUAUUGCGAUAAAACAUCGCGAUCUGAUUAAUUUUAGACCUCUGUUGCAACUCAUAAUACAUUUUCAUUUCAACAAUUUACAUACACUUUAUAGGAACGAUGCCUGUCUUUUUUUUAUUAUUACAUAUUGGUAAUAAUUAUUUUUAUUUAUAUUUUUAUUUGUCUCGCGCGCAUUUGUAUUCAUCGUUCAUAUGUGAAUAAUUAUACGAAAAGAACGAUUCUUAAUUUAAUAUCCAAAUGUCGCGCUUUCAAAAACAAAGCAGGUGUGAUUCGCGUUACGAUUAAAGUAUUGGGAUUUGAAUACAAAAAAAGAAUAUAUGAAUCAAUCGUCGUAAGAUAAACCGUGACAUCUUCUCAAUAAAGGCACUGUUAUACUUUUCGCUAAGAACUAACGUGAUAUAUAAUGCGUGUUUUACAGAGACUCGUCGUAUUCGUACAUAUACAAGCAAUAUAUAUGUAAUAGUUUAUAUUAAACGUAGCCUAUAUGGUAGAUCACUCUGCAAAGCAGUUCAUAAGGAAUGUCGUAUCUGCGAUACAAUCCAAAAAAUAGGCUUGCUAAAAGAUUUCCGUGCAUUCCCCGUAAAGAUAUAAAUUUCGAAAAUUAAUAGAUUGCAUUCAAUUUAAAUUGUUUGUACUCCACAAAUGUGACUUGCGUACUCUAAAAAAUAAUUUUUAUAAUACAACAAAGAGAUUUCUCGUCAAUGUAGUAAAGGGACGAGUGCAACUG